GCACUACUGAGGAGUCCCAUCAUAGGAUGAAACAGCUGUCCAGUGU
rfam:Schistosoma mansoni strain Puerto Rico chromosome 2, complete genome